CCCACAUUCAUUGAAUCUGAUUCUUUCCACACUCACUCCAAUAUAACUGCUCUGAAUUCGUUGGAGUUACUGCAGACUUUUAAAAAUGUAAAUGUGAUGAGAAGCCAUCUCAGUCUACUGGCACUGUGCUUCAGAAAGAUAAUUUUAUGUUUUCAAGAUCUUUAUUCCAGGAGAGGAAUGUACAUGAAAAAUUGUUUAACAAUCUAAUCUACCGAGUCAUUUCCAUAAGAAUUUGAUGGCAGUGACUGGGAUGUUUCACAUGGAGCAAAGAGACAUUCAUAUUCUGUAAAAAACAAAGGUGACUGGAAGUUGCCCUGAGAAAACCUAAUGCAGAACUCAAGAAGCUGCAAAUACGUCUGGGUCAUACAUCUAUCAAAAGCAAGUGAAAUCCGAAGAACUUACAGUGCGUUGGUAAGCAGAGCUGCAGAGAUCUGAAAAUAAUCGCAAUGUAGCCAUUAUGCGCACCGUAAUUGUGGCAUAUCACUGCACAGGCUUUGAGUUACAGCACUGAACUGAAUGGGGCAAGACAUUGCCAUGUUGCUUACAUGGCAAUUCCUGGUGCCUGGUGGACUCCAACUUACUGCAAAGUGCCUCUCAAGCUCUUCAUCAAAGACCUCCAUACUUCAGAGAGGGGUUUUGAAGAAGGAAGAUGCACAGCCUUGAUGUGAAGAGGACUUUCGAUGGUUCCCAGGAAUCCUGCCCAUAACAUCAGUUCUCACAACUGACCACACUGCGUGGAGGCAGCCUUGAGGAUGAAUGAGCAUGCUUCACUCAAGCUGCAUGGACUGAACAGGACCCUUCUCCCGGGUGAUUCUCCCAGCACCUCUGGCUACCAGAGUGGCACAGAAGCUGCACAAGGAGAUUGUUGUCUCCAUCUUGCAUACGCCUUAUGAAAGUGUGAUAAUAACAACUCACUUUACAGGAAUGUUUUAAGUACGCUUAUGUGGGUGCAUGAGUGAGUAUGUGUAUAUGUGCAGAAAGACAGGAUGGAUCAGUCUCUUUGAAGUGCUCAUUCUCUCAAGCAAGCCUAGUAAAAACAACAGAACAAACAAUCAAGUAGCCACCGACUAAAUCAACAUGGCUGAACAUAUCCAUGCAAAAAUAAUAUUUGAGCACAUAAUUAAAUUGUAGCAUAAUAUCCAGAUGUAAGGGGAGUUGAACUAAAGCUGAAUGGUCCAUCUCAUUUCUACCAUUUCCUAAUUUUUGAGGGCUUGACUUUGCAGUCUCAGUAUUUCUUUAGUGUUUUCUCAUUUGAAAUAAAUUAUUUGCUUCCGUAACA
rnacentral:lncRNA from 1 species